UACGUAGGGGGCUAGCGUUAUCCGGAAUUACUGGGCGUAAAGGGUGCGUAGGUGGUUUCUUAAGUCAGAGGUGAAAGGCUACGGCUCAGCCGUAGUAAGCCUUUGAAACUGGGAAACUUGAGUGCAGGAGAGGAGAGUGGAAUUCCUAGUGUAGCGGUGAAAUGCGUAGAUAUUAGGAGGAACACCGGUGGCGAAAGCGGCUUUCUGGCGCAUAACUGACGCUGAGGCUCGAAAGCGUGGGGAGCGAACGGGAUUAGAUACCCGGGUAGUCCCUGAGCGGGCUGG
rnacentral:rRNA from 1 species